GCUACUGUAGUUUUGUUGUAAAAUGUGUGAUUUGUAAUCAUGAGAUUUAGGUAGUU
rnacentral:tRNA from 1 species